UUUAAAUUAAUAAAGAGUAUUAGAGUGGAUAACUUGGUUUGCAUAAUGUAAAAGGGCGUAAUAUCACGAAAGUUAUAAAAUAUAAUACCCUAAGAGAAAACUUAAUUAACUAUAAUCCGCAACGAACUGAAACAUCUAAUUAAUUGCAGGAAAAAAAAUCAACCGAGACCUUGUUAGUAGUGGCGAGCGAACACAAGAAAGAUAUAAAACUAAGAUAAAAUUUUUAAACAAAUUGAAAACUUUGGCACUACAGGGUUAAAGCCCCGUAAAAAAUUUUUUUAGUUUUUUAAGUAAAACAAAACACGUGGAAUUUUGUUUGAAUAUAGGGGGACCACCCUCUAAAUCUAAGUAUUAUUGUAAAACCUAUAGUGUAUAAGUACCGUGAGGGAAAGAAUAAAUAAUUGAAACCUAAUACUUAUAAGCAGUUGAAGUAAAUAAAGAAAUAAUUUAUAACAACGUACCUUUUGCAUAAUGGGUCAGCAAGUAAAUAAAAAUAGCAAGCUUAAAUUUGGAGGCAAAAUGAAAAUGAAAUGUAAUUAUUUAAGUUAUUUUUAUUUGACCCGAAACCAAGUGAUCUAUUUAUGAACAAGCUGAAAUUAUAAUAAUAUAUAAUGGAGGGCUGAACUCACAUCUGUGGCAAAAGAUGGAGAUGAUUUGUGAAUAGGGGUGAAAGGCUAAUCAAACUUGGACAUAGCUGGUUUUCUGCGAAAUCUAUUUAGGUAGAGCGUUUUAUAACUUUUUUACGGGGUAAAGCACUAACUAAGCUAGGGGGGCCCAAAGCCUUACCAACCUUAAUUAAACUCAUAAUACGUAAAAAAAUAUAAAGCAGACAGAUUGUGGGUGCUAAGGUCCAUAAUCAAAAGGGAAACAGCCCAGAUUGUAAAUUAAGGUCCCAAAAUAAAAACUAAGUGAAAAAAGGAUGUUCUUUAAUUGUAACAACCAAAAGGUGGGCCUAGAAUCAGCCAUCCUUUAAUGAAAGCGUAAAAGCUCAUUGGUCUUUUUUACUGAUUAGUAAAAGUUAUUGAGCACCGAAAAUGUAACGGGGCUAAAGUUUUUUACCGAUAUUACAAAUUAAAUUAAAAACAAAAUAAUGGUAGCAGAACGUUGUAUAUAUUGUAUUAAUAUUAUUGAAAAAUAAUAUAAAAAUAUUACAAGUGAGAAUGCUGACAUAAGUAGUUAAAAUAAGGUAUAAAAACCUUAUCACCGAAAGCUUAAGGGUUUCUACGAAAGGAUUAACCGCGUAUGAGUUAUACAGUCCCUAAAAAAACUACAUAUGUACUAUUUGAUGGGUAAAAUAAAUUAUAAUAAUUUUAACGAUAUAAGUGACAAAAUCGAAUAUUUUUUUUAUUUUUAAUAAAAAGAAAUAUUAAAUUUUCAGGAAAUAACUAUAUCAUUUAGGAUAAUACUGUACCCUAAACCGACACAGGUAAGCUAGUAGAGUAUACUAAGGUGAUUGAGAGAACUAUGUUGAAGGAACUCGGCAAAUUGACUCUGUAACUUCGGGAGAAAGAGUACCUGUUAAUAUAGCGGGUAGCAUAAAAUAGGGGGUAGCGACUGUUUAAUAAAAACACAGGACUCUGCAAAAUUGAAAAAUUAGGUAUAGGGUCUGACACCUGCCCGGUGCCAGCAAGUUAAAUGGAGGGGUGAAUGCUCCAAAAAUAAGCUCUGGUAAACGGCGGCCGUAACUAUAACGGUCCUAAGGUAGCGAAAUUCCUUGGCGGGUAAGUUCCGUCCUGCACGAAUGGUGUAACGACUUCCCCACUGUCUCCAACAUAAACUCAACGAAAUUGGAAUCUCCGUGAAGAUACGGAGUAUCAGCAGCUAGACGGAAAGACCCCAUACACCUUUACUACACUCAUUUAUUGAUUAAAAAUUUUUUAUGUGUAGAGUAGGUAGGAGCUUAUAAUACCUUAACGUAAGUUAAUUGUUGAAGCAGAAAUGAAACACUACCCUAAAAAUAUUUUUAAUCUAAUAUAAUUUUUUAUAGACAAUAUAUGAUUGGUAGUUUCACUGGGGCGGUGGCCUCCUAAACAGUAACGGAGGCGCGCAAAGGUAAACUCAAAUAAGUUGGAAAUUUAUUUUAGAGCGUAAUGGUAUAUGUUUGCCUGACGGUGAGGCGUACAUGCCGAACCGAGAUAAUUAAUUUUAUCGGCCAUAGUGAUCCGGUGAUACUUUGUGGAAAGAUCAUCGCUCAACGGAUAAAAGGUACGUUGGGGAUAACAGGCUAAUGACCCUCAAGAGCUCUUAUCGACGGGGUUGUUUGGCACCUCGAUGUCGGCUCAUCACAUCCAGGAGCUGAAAAAGGUUCCAAUGGUUGCCCUGUUCGGGCAUUAAAGUGGUACGUGAGCUGGGUUUAGAACGUCGUGAGACAGUUUGGUCCCUAUCUACUGUUGAUAUUUGGAGAAAACAAAGAAUCUGUUUCUAGUACGAGAGGACCGAAAUGGGUUGACCAAUUGUGUAUUGGUUGUAUAAACGUUAAUAUGCAUCGCCAAGUAGCUACGUCAGGAAAAAAUAAUUGCUGAAAGCAUCUAAGCAAGAAAUUUCCCUUUUGAUUCUCUUAGUUAAGUUAAAGACUAUAACUUUGAUAGGCUUUUUAUGUAAUAUAAAGUAAUUUAUAUAUUUAUAGUAUAAAAGUACUAAUAAAACGUACAAUUUAAAGA
rnacentral:rRNA from 1 species